rnacentral:rRNA from 1 species
AACGAACGCUGGCGGCAUGCCUAACACAUGCAAGUCGAACGGGAUCCUAGCUUGCUAGGUGAGAGUGGCGGACGGGUGAGUAACACGUGGGAAUCUGCCUUUUGGUUCGGGAUAACCGCGGGAAACUGCGGCUAAUACCGAAUGCCCUCGUGAGAGGAAAGAUUUAUCGCCAGAAGAGGAGCCCGCGUCCGAUUAGGUAGUUGGUGGGGUAAAGGCCUACCAAGCCGACGAUCGGUAGCUGGUCUGAGAGGAUGAUCAGCCACACUGGGACUGAGAUACGGCCCAGACUCCUACGGGAGGCAGCAGUGGGAAUAUUGGACAAUGGGGCAACCCUGAUCCAGCAAUGCCGCGUGAGUGAUGAAGGCCUUAGGGUUGUAAAGCUCUUUUGCCAGGGAAGAUGAUGACUGUACCUGGAGAAUAAGCCCCGGCUAACUUCGUGCCAGCAGCCGCGGUAAU